rnacentral:rRNA from 1 species
CAUUCACGGAGAGUUUGAUCCUGGCUCAGGACGAACGCUGGCGGCGUGCUUAACACAUGCAAGUCGAACGAUGAAGCCCUUCGGGGUGGAUUAGUGGCGAACGGGUGAGUAACACGUGGGCAAUCUGCCCUGCACUCUGGGACAAGCCCUGGAAACGGGGUCUAAUACCGGAUAUGACCGUCCAUCGCAUGGUGGAUGGUGUAAAGCUCCGGCGGUGCAGGAUGAGCCCGCGGCCUAUCAGCU